AGGGAAUAUUCUGUGUCAUUGCGCUGAAAUUGUUGUGGAAGUUGGAGACUUGUCUACAUAUAUGGCUGCUAUUAUUCUUCAGAAACGUAAAUAUAUUUGAUUCCAUCUCGUCAUGGCCGGAAAGAUAGAUGACGCAUAUGAGCUACUACUUAAAACGUACCGCAAUAUUUCGAUGAAAUGCCUUCUGUCUUGCGUACCAACGCAAACAAAAAUGAAGCCGAGACGUGGAGAGGUUCUGUGUGCUGAAUAUUGUAUUGCACAUGAAAUGCAGCAGUUGAGGAAAUCUGUAAUCAACAAACUACCACAGACAAGGAAGCAAUAAAAAUAUAUAUGGAUACAUGUUUUUUCAUACACUUAGCAAAUGUUCUGAAAUGUUAAUCAAUAGUAAAUGUUGUGGAAAAUAUUAUAUUUACCAAUCAAAGUUGAUUCACAUCUAAGUAUUGUUGCUGAGUUCAGUUUAACCUUUCAUCCCAUAACUAUAUUUUCAGCGCAUUCAUCUCUCUACAUUUGCUUCUGUAUCAGUAAUCUGUGAAUAAUCUUAAAAGUCCUUUAUUUAAAACCAAAGUAAAUAUUACAAGAUGCUUUUCAAGAUAUUACAUAUUCCAGAUGUAACCAAUAUAAUUGUCCUAUCUGUGUAGAAAUAUAAAAGUGAACAAAUUCUAUGGAUUAUACUUUUACUGUGACUAUU